ACAAAACAUAGAGUUGGAUCAAAAUCGUACGCCCAACUAAGUUUUGAGAAGAGAAACUUGGAAACUGGAGAAGAGCCGGAUUGUGUUGCUCUAUGGGAACUCACACACACGAAGAAUGGAACAUGGUCUAACCCAGAGUCCCAGGAAGUUUAUGACAAAGCACGUGAAGCGGUGCAGAACAAAGAAACUGAAACAAAAGGUCCACUAUCAACUGAGCAGAGAAACAAU